GACGAACGCUGGCGGCGUGCUUAACACAUGCAAGUCGAACGGAAAGGCCCUGCUUUUGUGGGGUGCUCGAGUGGCGAACGGGUGAGUAACACGUGAGUAACCUGCCCUUGACUUUGGGAUAACUUCAGGAAAAUGGGGCUAAUACCGGAUAGGAGCUCCUGCCGCAUGGUGGGGGUUGGAAAGUUUCGGCGGUUGGGGAUGGACUCGCGGCUUAUCAGCUUGUUGGUGGGGUAGUGGCUUACCAAGGCUUUGACGGGUAGCCGGCCUGGGAGGGUGAACGGCGACAUUGGGACUACGAUACGGCCCAGACUCCUAUGGGCGGCAGCAGUCGGGAAUAUUACACAAUGGGAGGACGCCUGAUGCAGCAGCGCCGCGUGCGGGAUGACGGCCUUCGGGUUGUGAACCGCUUUCGCCUGUGACGAAGCGUGAGUGACGGUAAUGGGUAAAGAAGCACCGGCUAACUACGUG
rnacentral:rRNA from 1 species